AACAAACCAAACCCUUUUCCCCAAUUCCAUACUCUUCUUUCACCCUCCGCAUUAUCCUCGAAGAAUCAAUCAAAGGUAACCGCCACGGCUCCGAAACACACGCCCGGCCAAUUGAAGGGUCAAUAGGUUCUUCAUCUUCUUCAAUGCGACUAAUACCGUUUGAAAUUACGGGUUUAGCCUUGAGGGAGAUAAUGCAUUGGGUGUCGAGAUCGUAGAAUCGGA
rnacentral:misc_RNA from 1 species